GACGAACGCUGGCGGCGUGCCUAAUACAUGCAAGUAGAACGCUGAAGAGAGGAGCUUGCUCUUCUUGGAUGAGUUGCGAACGGGUGAGUAACGCGUAGGUAACCUGCCUGGUAGCGGGGGAUAACUAUUGGAAACGAUAGCUAAUACCGCAUAAAAUUGAUUAUUGCAUGAUAAUUAAUUGAAAGAUGCAAUUGCAUCACUACCAGAUGGACCUGCGUUGUAUUAGCUAGUUGGUGAGGUAACGGCUCACCAAGGCGACGAUACAUAGCCGACCUGAGAGGGUGAUCGGCCACACUGGGACUGAGACACGGCCCAGACUCCUACGGGAGGCAGCAGUAGGGAAUCUUCGGCAAUGGGGGGAACCCUGACCGAGCAACGCCGCGUGAGGAAGAAGGUUUUCGGAUCGUAAAGCUCUGUUGUAAGAGAAGAAC
rnacentral:rRNA from 1 species